rnacentral:rRNA from 1 species
GGCUUGUUGAUUUUAAUUUCAAGUCUGGCCUGCCCAAUGAUAUUUAUUUUAAUGGCCGCAGUAUAUUAACUGUGCAAAGGUAGCAUAAUCAUUAGUUUUUUAAUUGGAAGCUGGUAUGAAGGGUUUGAUGAAAAAAUUUCUGUCUCUAGAGAAAUUUAUUAGAAUUUUAUUUUUAAGUGAAAAAGCUUAAAUUUGUAUGGAAGACGAGAAGACCCUAUAGAGUUUUAUAUUUAUAGUUAAUUAAUUUAAUUUAUAUUAAGUAUUUAGUUGGGGUGAUAGAAAAAUUGACUUAACUUUUUUUUUCUUGUACAUUAAUUAAUGAUUAUUUGAUCCUAGAUUUAGAUUAUAAGAAGAAACUACCUUAGGGAUAACAGCGUAAUUUUUUUUAGAGUUCUUAUCGAAAAGAAAGAUUGCGACCUCGAUGUUGGAUUAAAAUUAAUUGUUGGUGAAGAAGUUAGCAAAUUAGGUCUGUUCGACCUUUAAAAUUUUACAUGAUCUGAGUUUAAACCGGUGUGAG